rnacentral:rRNA from 1 species
AGAUUGAACGCUGGCGGCAGGCCUAACACAUGCAAGUCGAGCGGCAGCACGGGUACUUGUACCUGGUGGCGAGCGGCGGACGGGUGAGUAAUAUAUCGGAACGUGCCCAGUAGCGGGGGAUAACUACGCGAAAGCGUGGCUAAUACCGCAUACGCCCUACGGGGGAAAGGGGGGGAUUCUUCGGAACCUCUCACUAUUGGAGCGGCCGAUAUCAGAUUAGCUAGUUGGUGAGGUAAAGGCUCACCAAGGCGACGAUCUGUAGCUGGUUUGAGAGGACGACCAGCCACACUGGGACUGAGGCACGGCCCAGACUCCGUACGGGAGGCAGCAAGGUGGGGUAAUUUGGAACAAGUCGGGGGAAACCCUGGAUCCAGCCAAUCCCGCGUGUGCGAUGAAGGCCGUUCGGUGUAAGACGUACUUUGGCGUAGGGAAGAAACGGACGU